rnacentral:lncRNA from 12 species
GCGGGGGAGGGGCGCCUGCCUGCGCACAGCAGAUGUUGCUGCUCCUCGGAUGGAGCUGUUAAUGGUAAGGCAGAGUGGGACAUCCAUAAAUGUGCACCAAAGGAAUUCUAAGAUAACUAAAGGCCACGGAGGACUGCCUGUCACACCCCAUGAGCAUAGACAACUUGACGGCUUCCCCUUGCCUCAACCUUGCCUGGCUGCGGUGCUAGAUCCAGCUAUGCUGACUCCUGGAUCAAGUUUGCAUGACAAGAAGCGGCCUCAGUGGGAAGAGGUCGCUCACCUCUGACCAGGAUAUAAUUGGAAAAAGAAGGUCAUUGCUGCCUUUGCUUCUGGGGCAGAUCAGCUUCGUUCCAUUUGUGUCAUGAGCUCUCGCCUCCCAGUGACAUGGAGACAAUGGCUGUGCCCAACAAUGGAGCCCACAGAGAUGUGCUCAACACGACACAAACACACCACGGGGACCCGCACUCGCUGUCAUCUGGACAGGCAUGUACAACAACGUGCACACAAUAGGUGCUCUCAAUAAAUGUUGAUAACACCAAAGACA